CAAACAGUUUAAUCCAACCGCCCAAACUAUCAAAGCCAUGCACGUGAGUUGCAGGCUAUAAAUAUGACGUUAGCUCUUCAGAUGUAACAUAGAUGUUUCGUUUGCUGGUUGAAUAGUUGGUGGAGAUCAUUUACAAGACCGCCAUGUUAUCUUUACAACUAUUCGUUAUCUUACUACCAGCGUUGGUUCUGGCAUCGGAGGCCAGUUGGAUUGACAGUUUAAUGUCCAAUGAUGCAGAGAACCACGCAGGCCUUCUACAGCAACUAAAACGACAACUAUCGGAUGAUACGGAGAACAACGCACAUGUUUCACUGCAACAACUACGACAACUAUCGGAUGAUACGGAGGACAACGCUGUUCUACAACAGCUAAAGCGACAUCUACCUGAUUCUGAUUCUGAAGAGGAUAUAGAAACGCGGAGGUUUAGAGGUCAAAGGAAAAGAGCCCGACCAGGACUUGUACUAAGUUUAAGAUACGUUUGUCGAGCAUUGAAAAUACAGAAAUUACAAAAAGCUGUCGCUGAUAAAAAAGACAAAGAUACAAAAAAGGCAGACAAUACCAAAAAAGCUUCUAAAAAGAAGGGCCGUGGUGCCAGAAAGCGGAAUCGAGCUUUUAAGCGAGGUCCCAAAAUAGAUUUUGAAAAAUAUGGCGAUUUACUGGAUUCUCUUGAAGACACGUGUGAGGAAUUUCAAGAUUAUUUAGAGGCAGAAAAGAAGUCACGACAAUCCAAGUUUAAAUCCAGAAAAUCUACUACAGCGUCGCCAACCGUCACCAAACGUAGUUUCCUGGAAUCUCUUGAAAAACGAGAAUUGUUAAACCAUAUAUUAUCCUUGUUACGAGAGUCGAUAUAAAAAUGUCAUGCUAUA